rnacentral:rRNA from 1 species
ACAAUUAAGUAUUUAAUCUUGGUACAGUUUGAACGUUGUCUGGUAGUUUUACUCAUGCAAGUUCUUUUAAAAUUUAUUUUAUUUGAGCAAAAGGCGAGGAUAGUUUAGUUUUUACCUUUUUAUAGUAUUAUUGUAAAUAGAUUAAACUAAAUUUCUAGCAGGUAUUAGAGAAAAUAUGGGUUUUACCGUAUUUUCUACUAGCCAUACGGAAAGGAAAGAGCGAAAGCUUCAAUUCCCGCAAUCGGUUUGAGAAUGACCGGUCGUGUUCUUGAAACAUGCAGCAGAGGAGAAUCUUGGGCAAUGCUCGAAAGAGUGACCCAGCUAACCAGAACUCAGGUCAUUAUGACCGAGUGUUGUAAGGGAGGAUAAUGACGUUACCUUACUAAUAGUCCAAUCUAAGUCUCGUGCCAGCAGAAGCGGUUACACGAACUGGGCGAACGUUAAAUGGUUUGAAUGGGUAUUAAGGAUCCGUAGGCGGUGAUAAUAAAGUCACUAGAAUCUAAUAGAGGUUAGCGGAAUGCUAUAUGUAGGGCUGAUAUUCUUUGAUAUUUAGUGGAACACUAAGGGCGAAGGCAGUUAACCAGCUAAAGAUUGACGUUGAGGGAUGAAAGUUUGGGUAGCAAAAAGGAUUAGAUACCCUCGUAGUCCAAACCGUAAACGAUUUACACUAUAUAUUUGGCAUAGUCAGAUAAGUAGCAAAUGUGUUUAGUGUAACACCUUGUAAGUACUGUUUCAGGGCAGAAAGCAAAAAGAUUAGACCAUCUUAAAAACCCGGAGUGGAGCAUGUUGUUUAAUACGAUGAUCCGCGUAAAAUCUUACCUCUCCUUGAAUUUAAUCUACUAGAUAUUUUAUAUCUUUCAUUAGAUUAAACAGGUGUUGCAUGGCUGUCGGCAGUUCGUGUCGUGAGAUGUUUGGUUUGAUCCGCUAACGAACGCAAUCCUUGUAAGAGAACUUCUCUUAAUGAUCUUCAAAAAGGGGAUCACAUAGGAAUACGACAAGCCUUCAUGACCCUUAUGGAGUAUGGGCUACAGACGUGCUACAUAUUUCUAACAAACUGAUGCAAUAUUGUAAAGUGGAGCAACUCAGUAAAAUAAGAACAUAUAGGAUUAUAGUCUGAAAUUCGACUAUAUAAAACAGGAAUUCCGAGUAAUCGUUGAACAGUAUGCAACGGUGAAUCAAUAUAUUUUUGAGGUACUAAUAGUCUAUCAAAUGUCGGUCGUAGAAGUGCUACGUAUAAUAGUUAACUUUGGCCUCCGGCCCGAAGUUAACUACUUAGAUUAGUAAGUCUAUUGCUGAGGUUAAGUUAUAGCAAAGUAGCCGUAAGUGAACUUGUGGCUGAUAGAUGUAUAUC